AAGGGGGAAGCCAACAUUCUGGUGCUGAAACGCUGAAAUCCAGAUGGGCAGAAGAAAGACAAGCAGCAUGUGUAACUUCAGAGUAUGGAAGAAACCAGAGAAAAUCCAUAUCGAGAAUUUUUCAAGUAUGAAAAGACUGAAAAACAAAAGCACCUGUAAAAUUUGCAACAUAGGCAUAGUUGGAGACCAUGCAG